CAGGUUGUUGCAAAUUCUAGCUACUGAGGAAUAUAUGUUUGGUGUGUGUAAAUCUUGAAAAAUAGUACAUCACUAAUCCCGUGCUUAGCAUUCACACUUUCGAAAGAUCUGUUCUACAUCAAGCUCUUUUUGGAAUUUGUGCACCCAAAACUUCUAUUCAUAAGGCUCAUCUGAGCUAUACAGCACCUGAACUUUUGAUGGGCUCAACCAAUUACUCAACUGCAGCUGAUAUCUGGUAUAUGGGCUGCAUAUUUUCUCACAUCAUUAAGCGCCAACCGCUGUUCAAUGAUAUAGACAAGCAUAGGGUAUUGGCUGAGAUAUUCUGAUCUAUACUCAUUUUGCUAUAAAACAUGAGAUGGUCACUCUUUUAGAGUCUUGAGUAAAGCAACAUGUCAACAAUAAUUUAUUCGUUAUAAUAAAGACUAGAAUAAAGACUUGUUGGAUUCCAUGCUACCUCAAUGAAGCUCCUGAAUUUAACUCUUCCAUUGAUGGUGCCAAUAAAAUAACAAAACUGUAAAGAAUUGUUCUUUCCUGAAAUUUGGGGGCAAUUCAAUGCUGCUAAGAUAAAUUAGAAGUUGAUUUGUGCAUUGUUGGAAAGUCAAUUAUGGCCAUCGAGGAGUCACGUUCGGCAGGAGAGAACUAGUUUUCUUAAGGAGCAAAU